GUCUACAGCCACAGCACCUUGAACUCACCUAGCCGCAUCUAAUCUUGGAAGCUAAUCAGGGUCAGGCGUGGCUAGUACCUGGAUGGGAGACUGCCUGGGAAUAUCAGAUGCUGUAGGCU
rnacentral:rRNA from 1 species